rnacentral:lncRNA from 1 species
GAUUUAGGCAGAGUUGUCUUCUCUAGGACAUUAGGAGUGGAUUCCUGUUAUUCCUCCACCACCGUCCCUCCCCUGGCAUAGACAACUCACUCCUAAAUGUAUGGAAGAAUGUGCAGCCCAUGAGAGACUUCCAAGAAAUCUCAACCGUCAAAUCCUGUUAAAAUGCAUCAAUCCUGUUGCUAAAAAGAAGACACGUCAAAUACCUCCGCUGAACUCUAUUCCUCGUUUGAUUAAAAUUUUCAGCUCUAAUAUGGUGACUUGCGGCAGAAUAGAACGAGUGUAUGAAUCUCUUCUUUUCUUGGCUGCCAGGCAAGGAUUGCCGUUUUAUAUGAGGGUCGUAUUUCCUUGUCCUGUUCUGCAAGUGAUUGAAUGAUGUCUUUAGAGGGAGCUGUUAUUUUGAGCACCUCAUGCAGAUUGCAAUAAUUCACUGAUGAAGUGUUUAGAAAAGGCAGCUGGUACAUCAGAAGAGUCUUCCUUUCCCCCCCAGGGAUUAGCUCUGGAAACUCACAAGGGAACAGAGAAGAUUAGGGGCUGCCCCAGAGGCAAGGCAAACAAACCAAGCGUAGCCUCUUUUCUGGGAAAAAGAGCAGUCCCGCGGGCAGACCUCAAUCUAGCUCAGAAAACGCCCUGAUUUACAGCAGUAGAGAGAUCUCUGUACUUCUCAUUCUGUCACACUGACAUGGAAGGAGUUUUUCUAGGAGUCAAUUUAUUGUACCUCCCUGGCCCUAGUACCUUCACCACGCUUGCAGCAAUCCUGCCGAAGUGCACAAAAUAGAUUUGACAUUGAGUAACCCAGAUAGUUUAGCUUGCCACCAACGAGCUGCUGAAGUGUUUCCACAGGACGAGUCUCGUGCAAUGGGGGUUAAUGACCGGAAGCUCUAACUGGAUGCUGGCCUUGGGUUACGGCUGCUCUGAGCGCCAGAAGGAAACCCCAAUUUGUCUGAUGUGCCUAUCUUGUGGAGAAGCAUCGGAGCACUGACAAACAGCAAUCCUGAGCAAAGCUGGGGUGCGCUGCAUGGAGACAGACAAUGGUCACCUCCCUCUCACACACAGCUUGGCAAACACUGACAACUAGGAUCUCACGAUUGAUCUCUUUACGGAUGGUGGAAGGUACUUGUACCAACCCUGUGCAGCUAGUAUUUUUUUUUAAGUAGCAUCGCAAAGACAUGAAGUUUUUAAAGUUUAUUUUUUUAGUUUUUGGAAAGGCAGAAUGAUGGGGAGACAGAGAGAGAGAGAGAGAGAGAGAGAGAGAGAUCUUCUGUCCCAUGCUUCACUCACAAAUACCUGCAAUAGCCGUGGUUGGGUCAGGCUGAAACUAGGCUCUAGGAAUUCCACCCAGGUCUCCCCCAUGGGUGGCAGGAACCCAGGUACUU